GGUACAGUCAUUACAUUUAUAAUUAUGCCUUCUUUACAACUGGUAUAUAAAUGGUUUCUUUUCUCUUCUCUCACAGGUAUGGGACAGUGUUGUCUCCAGACCCAGAGGGCUGGCUCUGCAGCACCAACAGUUUCCACGCAGCAGUUGUCAAUGUGGGCACCCCCGGCUCUGUUCAACGUAACCUUCCAGGCCACUAAGGAGACAAUGAGGCUCUGGUGGGGACCUGCCUGUCUCAUGUGACGAACAGCUGCUUGCUGGGACUUGUACUGAGCUUCCAGGAUUCUGACUGCUCCACGUUCCUCACUGUGCUGCUGGCACUGCAGAGUUGAUGUCCAGUUUGGGACACUGUUUAGAGCCAAGCCUGUUACCAUUCUCUGUCCCCUUGGCAGACCAGAGAAACCAGGCUGGACCCCUGCUCAGAGGGGGCUCCGUGUGAGCAAGAGAGGGGUUUGGGGCUGUUCCUAGUCGCUCUGGUGGGAAAAAACACCUUGUUCCUCCUUUCUGUCUGGGAACUGGGUUGCUGCUGCUGGAAGCUGGGGAUGGUGCUGUGCAGACCCGGGGCCAGCAGCCUGGCAGAGCACUAGCAGAACCCCAGCAUCAUCCCGGGGCUGAGUGCUGCCCCGGGGUGGGCUGCUGGCAUCCCCGCAGCGGCUGUGCUCCCGGGAUGUAGGUGCUGCGUACAGGAGCGGUGUUGGGAGCGAUGGGCCGGCUGGACGACCACGCCAAGAGGAGGAUCGUGGAGCUGCGCAGGGCCGGGCUGAGCUUCCGCAAGAUCAAGAAGGUUCUGGAGCUGGACGACAUCCGGGUGACGCCGCAGGCCGUCUACCUCUUCCUCAAGCGGAAGAGUGUGGAGCCGGGGUUGGCAGCAGCUGGCUGGGACGGGGACCAGCCCUGGCCCCCGCUGCAGGGACAUGAGGCUGAGCCACCCAAGCUGCCGAGUGCCCGGCUGCCUGGGGUGCCUGGUGAGGGCCCUGUGGGUAGCCGGGCACCCUGCCCUGCUGGAAGCCAAGACACCAAGGAGAGCAUCCAGAUUGUCAGCAGGGCCUUGCUCUGCAAGGACGGUGGGCAGCUCGGGGAGGCCCUGCCCGUAGGACUCCCCCCUGGGAAUGGUGGUGAUGGCUCCAUAGGCACCCCCUCGGCUCUGGGGAGCUGCCCCACUUUGGGGGUCUCGUCCACCCCUCCACAGGCCCUGACCAGCCGAGGGCGGCUGGUUGCACCCUCAGCCAGGAACCCAGCUCUGAUGGUGAAGAAAAAGAUCAUGGACAAGGCUAUCCUCCUGCAGAAAAAGAGAACAAACACAAGCCUCACAUCAGCACGGGCAGCCCAGCUGCCAUCAAGCAGUAUCUUCCAGCAGAUGACUGAGCACAUGCUGGCAGCAUGCAGGGCAGCGUGGAGUUCCUGCGGAGCAGCGGCACAGGGGCUGGGUGGGCAUGAAGUGCAGCUCAGAGCAUGGUGAGGUCUAGAGGCCCACAACAAGGUCAAAGACACCAGCACUCAGACUCCUUUGCUGAACGCCACAAGUCCUGGCACUGAAAGUCUUGCUUGGGGCGAACCAGUGCUUCCCCCUGCUCCCAACUCACAUGCCAUUGCCGAAAAGCUGGAUGCUGUGCAGACAGAGAUCCAGAAGCUGAGCCAGGCCCUGCAGGCAGUGCUGGAGAGGCAGUGCCGCCUGGAGCGGCAGCAGGAGCAUCAGCAGCGGCUGCAGCAGGAGGUGCUGAUGACGCUGCAGCAGCUCAGCUCCACUGUGAGCCACGGGGCCGUGCCAGCGAACCAGCCCUGUGUCCCCUUCAGCAGCAUGGCCGAGCCCUCACCCACUGUGCCAAACUUCAGCCAGUUCAAGAUGGAGCUCAUCUGACCCCAGGCCACGCCGCUGUGCUUUAGCAGUGCCGCACUGGUGGCGGGAUGAAGCUGGGAAGAACCACCUUUCAGGGGCUGCCUGAGGAUUAUGUGGGGCACCCAGCAGAGAAGGUCCCUGGUGCCACAUGUUUUCAUCCCUGCUGACUGCAAGGGGCUGCCUGGCACAAGAGGCAGAGCAGUGCAGAGCUCAGGACUCACUUCUGCUGUGCUACCCAGCCUGGCUGGCACUGGAGCUGGCUGGUGGCCCGUGGACUUCAGCAGCAUAGACAGGCUCCCUGCAAGCAGAAGAUGCAACUAAGAGAGGCACAACAGGUAGGUGGGUCUCAAAGCAAAGGCAAGGCUUCCUCUCCCAAGGGUCAGUGCUGUGACGAGCAAUCACAGAAACGCUUUGUGCCCUCCCUCUGCAGAGCCUUGUUCAGUAAAACUAUAUACACCAUGGUUCAGAAACAGUGUGGGAUCUCUUUCUUCAUUUUACCUACCCCUUGCCCUACCAGUGAGCAGGCUGGAUCUGUCAUGGGUGCUGUCACCGUGCGCGGAGCUGUGCAGGGUGUUCAUGAGGUGAGACUACCACUCCGCACACAAGGGAUCCUACUGGAGGCCUG
rnacentral:lncRNA from 1 species